UACAGAGGGUGCGAGCGUUGUCCGGAAUCACUGGGCGUAAAGGGCGCGUAGGUGGCGACCCAAGUCUGUGGUGAAAGCUCGACGCUCAACGUCGAGUCGGCCAUAGAUACUGGGUUGCUCGAGCACUGUAGAGGCAGAUGGAAUUCCGGGUGUAGCGGUGGAAUGCGUAGAUAUCGAGAGGAACACCUGCGGCGAAGGCGGGUUGCUGGGCUGACACUGACGCUGAUGCGCGAAAGCCAGGGGAGCGAACGGG
rnacentral:rRNA from 1 species